UACGUAGGCAGCGAGCGUUGUUCGGAGUUACUGGGCGUAAAGGGUGUGUAGGCGGUCCCUUAAGUUUGGUGUGAAAUCUCCCGGCUCAACUGGGAGGGUGCGCCGGAUACUGAGGGGCUAGAGUGCGGGAAGGGAAGGUGGAAUUCCUGGUGUAGCGGUGAAAUGCGUAGAUAUCAGGAGGAACACCUGUGGUGUAGACAGCUUACUGGACCAUAACUGACGCUGAGGCACGAAAGCGUGGGUAGCAAACAGG
rnacentral:rRNA from 1 species